GGGAGAGACGCGGUGGCCAAUUUGUCAGCCGAAAUUACAGAGGAAGAAGUACAUAGAGCCAUAUCUACCUUGAAAGGUAACAAAGCUCCAGGCCCGGAUGGGUUCGAAGGUACAUACUACAAAACCUUCAAAGAAGAACUUACACCCCAACUAAUGAAACUCUUUGACUACAUGAAACAGGGGGGACUCCUCCCUCCAGACAUGACCCUAGCUACCAUAGUAUUGAUACCUAAACCUGACAAAGACACACUCCAACCAGGAAACUACAGACCCAUAUCAUUGAUUAAUCAAGAUCUAAAAAUAAUAGCAAAAAUACAAGCUGACAGAUUAAAUCCGCUACUAAACUCACUCGUCCAUGCCGACCAAGUAGGCUUUAUUCAGGGCAGACAGCUGUUUGAGAAUACCAGAAGGAAUAUUGACCUAAUCUGGAAACAAGUGACAUCUAAAAUCCCUACCCUAGUGGUUUCUAUAGAUGCAGAAAAGGCCUUUGAUAGGGUGAGAUGGCAAUUCCUCUUUGCGGUACUAAAUCACCUAGGGUUCCCGAAAGAAUUUAUAACUACUACAAAAGCAAUGUACCAUGAGGUGAGAGCACAGAUACAGAUCACUGGUGCCCCGAUGACGCCUUUUCGACUCUACAAUGGCACUAGGCAGGGAUGCCCACUCUCCCCACUCCUGUUUGUACUAGCGCUAGAGCCUUUGAUGCAAGCGAUUAGACAACAUCCAGAAAUUGAAGGAGUUCGUGUAGGGGACAAAAAGUUUACAGUCUCAGCAUACGCAGACGACGUUCUUUUGACCAUCACGAACCCAUCGACGUCUGUGUCGGCCCUCCAAGACGUUAUCAAGGACUACGGGGAAUGGUCUGGCUAUAAGGCCAACAUGCAAAAAUCUAGCGCUAUGCCGAUUGGCAUGACUGAGACAGACAUAAAUCACAUACAAUUGACCUACCGUAUCAGGAUGGAAAGAGAGUCUAUGAAAUACCUGGGUAUACACCUAACUACGGACCCGACACACCUCUACUCCGAGAACUAUGGCCCCCUAAUUAGGAAGUUGAUAGGAGACUUAGAAAGGUGGUCUGAUAAACCUAUCUCCUGGAUAGGACGAAUUAACUCUGUUAAAAUGAACGUCCUCCCGAGGAUUUUAUUCUUAUUCCAAGCUCUCCCAAUUCAUGUCACCAAAGCACAACUGAACCCACUUCAACGGUCGAUAGCUGACUUCAUAUGGCAGAACAAGAGGCACAGGAUAUCAAGACAGAUACUCUACAGACGAAAAGAAAGAGGGGGACUGGGCCUCCCAAAUCUAUACUUCUAUUAUCUUGCAGCCCAACUAACACAGAUAGCUAUGUGGCAUUCCCCUCCGGAAGAGCGGAGAUGGGUCGAAAUAGAAUCCAUGAUGGUGGGAUGGGACAUCCCCCAGUUCACUAUGUGGAUCCCGAAAGACUAUCGACCCUUG